GAUGUGCUUUUCUGAAGGAGAAGGGAGAAGUUUUAUUGGUAGUGUCUUUCUCAGGCAAGCUUCCAAGUGAUGAGAUUUCUCCUUGCCUUGCCCUGCCCUGCUGCUAUCGGAGCUGCUGCCUGAGAAGACCUCAUUGGAAAUGUGAUCAAGUCAUUCCAGACUUCGAGUAAAAUUCUGCCUGGGAAGAAAUGAGAAAUGUGCUCUUCUAACUUGGGGAACAACACCUGAGUUAUGAGGGAUUAGAAUAUUUGUGAAGAGAAGAAACAAACAAAUUUAGAGCCAAACACUGCGCAGUUACGCAAACCCUACUAGGGUCCCUGCCAGUGCAACGAUGCUCCUUUUCAUGGACAUGUGAAUAAAUCUACCUAGAGAGAAAACUGAACGUGUAGACUUCUGUAACAGCUGCCAAAGAUUCAGUCUGUACUAUGAAUAAACCCAGGCCUUGUUCUAACUGGCUGCCUGUGCAGGAGAUCAACUCUGCCUCUUCUGAUCCACUGGUUUUCCUGAGAAAAAGAGACAAAGACA
rnacentral:lncRNA from 1 species